CCACAAUUUCCUGUUACACUCAUUUGAAAAGACAAUGUUCCUGAGGAAGUUAUGAAGACGGCAAGCAAAGCCAUAAAUCCUCUGGAAGAAGUAGCAGCUCUCCAGAGGAGCCUAGUUUGAUCACACAGAGGAAUCAGCAGGGCCCUUUGCUUCAGGACAUAAAUGUGCUCUCGGCGGUGCUGGGGAAGCAAAGGCAGCACGAGAAGACUUUCAGCACGAGUGGUCUGCCCAUUUUCUGAAGCAGCCAAGAGUGAAAUUUGAUUUGAACCUAUGAAACAAAUCCUGCACUUCUGUAUAAUUGCUUAUGAAGAAUACGGUAAAAGGUGAGACUUAAACAGAAAAUAAAAAUCAGAAGUAAUAGGAUAGAAAUCACAUUUGGAUUCACAAGGUUUAUAUGCAGGUCUGGGUCAAAACCUUCACAGAAGUCCCUGGAUUUAGAUCUUAAGGCUGAAGUCAUUUCAGUAGUAAGAGAAAUGAUGUAAAACAGAGAAGAGGGGAAGGCAACCAGAAAGAUACUGGUGGAAGGCAGACGUAAUCCACCUAAAACAAUCCAUCUUUCCUGGGAUUCCUGUGUGGCUUUUUGUAGAUGGGACCUAUAGAGACUUACCACUAUUGAGCAGACUGCAGCUACUGUCUGCUGCCAGAGCCAGUGCGCUUUCUGCAGCUGGGACUCUUUUCACUGGUUGUGUACAAAAAGAGCUCUGAACCUGGCCCUGGAAGUAAAAGAUAAAAUAACAGGAAGGUUUUGUUCAGUCCUCUUAUUUGGGGGCAUGCAUUAGGCUGUGGAAAAUUCAAAGGGGUGGGGUUUCCUGUUUCUUUUCUAAUGAUGAUUUUUACAGUGUGCAAAUAUAGGAGGUGCACAUACAUGCGGUCAUUUUUCCUGCAGAAGCAUCGUGGAGCAGACAGAUAAAAUGAUAGAGCUAAUUAACUUAGGAGUGUUAUUUAAAGGUAAAGAGUUGAACAACACAACUGAUUGUUAAA